GAUGAACGCUGGCGGCGUGCCUAAUACAUGCAAGUCGAGCGAACAGACGAGGAGCUUGCUCCUCUGACGUUAGCGGCGGACGGGUGAGUAACACGUGGAUAACCUACCUAUAAGACUGGGAUAACUUCGGGAAACCGGAGCUAAUACCGGAUAAUAUAUUGAACCGCAUGGUUCAAUAGUGAAAGACGGUUUUGCUGUCACUUAUAGAUGGAUCCGCGCCGCAUUAGCUAGUUGGUAAGGUAACGGCUUACCAAGGCGACGAUGCGUAGCCGACCUGAGAGGGUGAUCGGCCACACUGGAACUGAGACACGGCCCAAACCCCUACGGGGGGCAGCAGUAGGGAAUCUUCCGCAAUGGGCGAAAGCCGGACGGAGCAACGCCGCGUGAGUGAAGAAGGUUUUCGGAUCGUAAAACUCUGUUAUUAGGGAAGAAAAAAUGUGUAAGUAACUAUGCACGUUUUGACGGUACCUAAUCAGAAAGCCACGGCUAACUCCGG
rnacentral:rRNA from 1 species